UGUGCGCACACACCAGCAGCCACCGUGUCCUAUCCACUCUAUAUCCUGUGUCUCUCGUGUUUCACUCCUUCCUCAACAUACUCACAAGGGAACCAAUGAGGAAUUGCAGAGCAGGAAGCACACCAGAGUGCCUGAAGCUUAGUGAGCCAGGGUAGGGGAAGGAGAAGUUGGAGAGACCAAUCAGAGCCACAUGGUGUGGGACCUUAUGGGCCACUAAGAAGUUUGGCAUUGACUCCAGGUUAUUAACGGGAAGCUGUUUGUUUUAAGCAGGGCAAUGUCGUGGCCAAAUUCAUGUUUGAAAAGUACCCUUUGACGGCCAGGUGGAGAUUUAAUUGUCAGUCAGGGUAGAAGCAGGGAAACUAACAAGGAGAUUGGGGGUGUAACCAGUUGAGAGAUGACAACAUCCUGGACUCUGGUGGAGGCAGAAUGUUGGGGGAGAAGUAGUCAGACUUGAGGUUUUUUUUUUUUUUAGACACUCAAGACUCCUCUGUCUCCCAGGCUGGAGUGCAGUAACCCGAUCUAGGCUGACUGCAACCUCCGCCUCCCAGGUUCAAGCAAUGCUCCUGCCUCAGCCUCCCGAGUAGCUGGCACUACAGGCUUGCGCCACCACUGCCUGUUAAUUUUGUUUUUUUUAGGAGACAGGUUUUCACCAUAUUGGCCAGGCUGGUCUCAAACUCCUGACCUCAAGUGAUCUGACUGCCUCGGCCUCCCACAGUGCUGGGAUUACAGGCAUGAGCCACCACAUCGCACCAGGGAUGUAUUUUGGAAGUAAACCAGUAAGAUUACUUGGGUGAGAAAAAGAAAUGAAUUGAUUACAUGUCUUUCUUGUCUCUCUGAGCAGCUGGGAUGGGGAAAACUAGGAAAGGAGUAGGUUUAGAAUGAACAAAUAAAGAAUUUCAUUUUGUCCACAGUGAAUCUGAGUUGCCCACUGGAAAUCCAAGUGUAAACAUCAUGACAGUAGCUUGUUUAUGUGAGUCUGGAGCCCAGAGGAGGUUGGCAUUGAUUUGGAAGUCACUGUCUCAAGGGUGGCAUUUAAAGCUGUGUGAGGGCUGGGCAUGGUGGCUCAUUCCUGUAAUCCUAGCACUUUGAGAAGCCAAGGUGGGCGGAUCACUUGAGGUCAAGAGUUUGAGACCAGCCUGGCCAACAUGGUGAAACCCCAUCACUACUAAAAAUAUAAACCAAUUAGCUGGGCAUGGUGGCAGGUGCCUGUAAUACCAGCUACUCAGAAGGCUAAGCCUCCGGAGUUGCUGGGAUUACAGGUGCCUACCACCAUGCCCGGCUAAUUUUUGUAUUUUUAGUAGAGACGAGGUUUUCUCACGUC
rnacentral:lncRNA from 1 species